GACGUAGGGCGCGAGCGUUGUCCGGAUUUAUUGGGCGUAAAGAGCUCGUAGGCGGCUUGUCGCGUCGACUGUGAAAUCUCAGGGCUCAACCCUGGACCUGCAGUGGGUACGGGCAGACUAGAGUGCGGUAGGGGAGAUCGGAAUUCCUGGUGUAGCGGUGAAAUGCGCAGAUAUCAGGAGGAACACCGGUGGCGAAGGCGGAUCUCUGGGCCGUAACUGACGCUGAGGAGCGAAAGCAUGGGGAGCGAACAGG
rnacentral:rRNA from 1 species